rnacentral:snRNA from 15 species
AUAUUAAACGGAUUUUUAGCACCGGGAGCUGAAAAAGGGGCUUGCUCCGUUGACUCCACGCAUCGACCCGGUACUGCAGUGCCGCCGGGAACGGUGC